GUAAAACCCGUAAUUUCCCUGCCA
rnacentral:siRNA from 1 species